rnacentral:lncRNA from 1 species
CUGGCCCAGGUGUGGAGCAGGUGUUGGGUUGCUGGGCUGGAGCCCGGCCAGGAGCCUGCUCCUCCUCCCUGGUGUUCCUCCCCAGGAGCCUGCUCCUCCCUCCUCAGUGCUCUUCCCCAGAACUCCCUUCCUCCCUCAGUUUUCUUCCCCAGAAUUCCUUUUCUCACUCAGUUUUCUUCCCCAGAAUUCCCUUCCUCCCUCAGUUUUCUUCCCCAGAAUUCCCUUCCUCCCUCAGUUUUCUUCCACAGAAUUCUUUUUCUCACUCAGUUUUCUUCCCCAGAAUUCUUUUUCUCACUCAGUUUUCUUCCACAGAAUUCCCUUCCUCCCUCAGUUUUCUUCCCCAGAAUUCCUUUUCUCACUCAGUUUUCUUCCCCAGAAUUCCCUUCCUCACUCAGUUUUCUUCCAUAGAAUUCCCUUCCUCUCUCAGUUUUCUUCCCUGAAAUUCAGUUUCUCAUUCAGUUUUCCUCCCCAAAAUUCAGUUCCUCACUCGGUUUUCCUCCCCAGAAUUCCAUUCUUUGCUCAAUUUUCACCCCAGGAGCCUGUUCCUCGCUCAGUUUCCCUCCCCAUCCGUCUGGGCAGAGCUGGGCUGGGCUGGGUUUGGUUUUCCUGCUGUCCCUGACCUUUGGGAGGGCUGGGAUGUGAUUCCAGGCCCUGGGAGCUGCAGCCCGGGUUCAAUGAGAGCUGAUCCGAGGCCUUGGGUCCUGCCAGGAUUGUGGAAUGGGGGUGUCAGUGCUGAUCCAUGGCCUUGGGUCCUGCCAGGGUCAGGGAAUUGAGGUGUCAGUGCUGAUCCAUGGCCUUGGGUCCUGCCAGGGUCAGGGAAUUGGGGUGUCAGUGCUGAUCCAUGGCCUUGGGUCCUUUCAGGUCUAUGGAAUCAAGGUGUCAGUGGUGUUCCAUGUCCCCAGGUCCUUCCAGGGUCAAGGAACGGGGCUGUCAGUGCUGAUCCAUGUGCUCAGGUCCAGGUCUAUGGAAUGGGGGUGUCAGGGGUGGUUCCCAUGUCCCCAGGUCCUUCCUGGGCUGUGGAAGGACUCAAGUGCUGAUCUGUGGCCUCAGGUCCUUCCAGGUUUAUGGAAUGGG